rnacentral:rRNA from 1 species
AUACGUAGGGUGCGAGCGUUGUCCGGAAUUACUGGGCGUAAAGAGCUCGUAGGUGGUUUGUCGCGUCGUCUGUGAAAUUCCGGGGCUUAACUCCGGGCGUGCAGGCGAUACGGGCAUAACUUGAGUACUGUAGGGGAGACUGGAAUUCCUGGUGUAGCGGUGAAAUGCGCAGAUAUCAGGAGGAACACCGGAGGCGAAGGCGGGUCUCUGGGCAGUAACUGACGCUGGGGAGCGAAAGCAUGGGUAGCGAACAGGAUUAGAUACCCUGGUAGUCCAUGCCGUAAACGGUGGGCGCUAGGUGUAGGGGUCUUCCACGACUUCUGUGCCGUAGCUAACGCAUUAAGCGCCCCGCCUGGGGAGUACGGCCGCAAGGCUAAAACUCAAAUGAAUUGACGGGG